rnacentral:lncRNA from 1 species
UAACGCUCUUGAGAAGCCCAUGAAACCAAAAGUGCUGUGAGUCCAAAAGACCAUAUUUUCAGAACCAAAUAUUAGAACCUGAGGUCCAUCAAAGGAAGCCGUAUUACUUGUAACA